GACACCGCCAGCCUCUGCCCCCGGGGCGAGGCAAGAGCAGCGCGGCUUUCAUCUCUGCUAGCCGGCAAUUCUGCCUCCGGGGCAGCCUUCUAUCUUUACGGCAGAAAGGUGCUGGGGACCUCCAGGAGCAAGACUUUGUGAAGUGUAGCAUUUUCUGAGAUCACAUACAAGACCACCUCUCCUGCCCUGUGCUUUGUUGCAGCAGCAUAAGGCAUCAGUGGCUAUGAAGUGCCAAAGGAUCCUGCAG